UCACUCCAUCCCCUCAGUCCCUCCCUCCCCCUUCAUUGCCUCCCUCACUCUAUCACUCCAGUUCCCUCCCUCACUUCCAUCCUUCACUCUGUCCCCUCCCUCCCUCCCUCCCUCUGCUCUCUUCGCCUCCAUCCACCUCCACAGCCUGCACCCAGAUGGGUUUGGUCUCCCCAACGGACAAGCAAGACCCCCUCACGGACAGUGCACCACAGGGAUCUCCGGAGCUGACCCCACCGCUGGGAUUCUCGACCAAGCUCCAGAUGCCAGAAGGACAUGAGAUUGCAAACUUCCUCGGGAGUCAGGGAUUCCAGCCACCUCCUACAACCCCCACCCUCAAGCCAUCUUCUUGCUCCCCAAAGCAUCCCCUUCCCCACCCAGAUCUCACCGUCAAACUGUCUACACUUGCUCCUUCUCUUUCUAAUGUAGUUGUACGAUAUGGACUGUGACUCUGUCUGGAUGUCUUUCCGGAAGUCUGGUUGAUCACUUCAUGGAUCUUUUAUUGUGGGGGAGGAGGUGCAAGCCAACACAGACUUGAUGGGCUGAGUGACCUUCAUCACCUCCUCCUCCUCCUGUCCCGUAACCAUUCUGUGAUCCUGUCUUUAAACAUCUGUCUCUCGGAAAACUGCGUUGGAUGGCCUCGCUAAGGGCAGCUUCAGCUGAUCAGUGUUCAUUUUCGGGGGUGAACCAUUUCCUUCUUGGAUUGUGACACUCUUCACAGGGGAAGGCUGUGAGACAGUGAAGGAGACCAUCGUGUCCUUUGGUUCGGCCUGAGGGAGACUGCGGCCUCUGCAAUGAGUGAAGCUGCCUCUACAGGUGGCCUUGGGACCUCUGCGGAUCUCGAGCGUAGCGUUAUGAAAACAAAACCAAAAUAAGAGACGAUAUUGCUGGUGUGUCUUUGGCCAUCUCAGCGUCUGUAGCUGCAUUCUCGCCUUCCUGAUGUCAAUGUUGUUCAUAUUCACCAAGAAUAAUCAACAUGGUAGAUGUUUUUGAUUCAAGUAGCUCUGUGUUUUUACAUAAAAAACAAUUAAACUGCUAUUUCAGCAGAAAGCCUUUACUGUGAAUUAUGAAAGGUCUGUCAGGAAGUUGGAUUUGUCUUCAUUCUUAUGUUAAACACGAUUGCCGUGCCAAUGUUUUGAAUUUUUGUAUGUACCCUUUCUUGUACUUUGGAAUUUUCAUCCAAAAAUGAAUGUUUUUCAGAAUGAAUUCCAGAAUGUUUCAAAGAUUCAACUUGGCUUUUUAAUAAUUGAGAACAAGGGUCUGGAUAUAGAAGCAAUUAACGUGCAGGAUCUUUGUUCUCCAUUCGGCCUGCAGUGUAAGAUAAAGAUGUAUCUGACUUUGUGGUGGAACUGAGUUGCAGCUACCCAGUUAAUGUCUAGACCACGUGAAAUCAGCUUUCACCCUCCACUUGAACAACAGCUCAAGGUAUAAAGGCUGUGCGGGUGGUGUAGGGUUAGAGAAAUCUCACAACUCCUCACCAUUGAAUCAAUUAAAGACAACCUUGAUUGACUCAGAAUACUCAAUGGACAGGCUUUGAGAGGAGAGAAUUUGUAGGGCUGCAGGGAAAGCAUAAGGGAAUGGGAAUAACUGGUCAGCUUUCUGCAAAAAUACCAGUACAAGACUGAUGGGCCAGAUGGCCUCCUCCUGGGCUCCUCCAGGUGCUUUAAAGUUUAACCAUGGGUUUGUGAAAGUGAGCUUGCUGCAAUAAGCUUGCUCAUCGGCCUACAGAAGGGAUGAUUGCCUCUCAAUUGUGAACACUCCAAGCUGUUAUUGGUUAUUUCCUGAGCGACUUUAGACACCAUUUUGGGAAUGGAUGUGUCAGGGGGGUCUUGUACUGAGAGAUUCUCUCUCCCUGAGCCUAGUGGUGAGGGCUUCAUUAUGGCUGGGAGCAUGUCGGGUGGAGUCCCAGGCAUGUUCAGCAGAAAGCACAGGGAGGAACAGCAAUCCUCCUGUCAACAGGAGAGUUAAGGGGCAGGUCAAGCUUCAUCAUAAACCCCUGUCUGUUCACUGCUCACUGAGAGCCCUGGGCCCUCCCCACAGAGAUGAAAAUCAGGCUCCUUUGUAGACAGCACGAUAGGCUCUACAUUGACACCUUUCCAGUGAACUAGUCACGGACUGGUGAGGAGCGUCAACAGCUGAAGUGCUGCAGUAUGUCUAGUAUGAAAUACCCAUCGUUGCACAAGGUUCACUGAUUGACAACAGCACAGCCGGGUGUCUUUUGGUGUCAGUGCUGUAUUGUCUAAAACUGUCUGCUUUUAAUUGGCACCUCUGCAUCUGUUUUUGGGAAGGGCAUCGCCCUGGCCUUUCUGUGAGGAGGGGUUGGAGGUAUUUUCACAAUGGGACCUGAUUACCACUUGAGAGGGGGAUAUCUGGGAACUGAUCAUUUGGAGCUGGUCAUGUGGCAAUGAGAUUGAGCAGCUUUUUGGGACGUAACAGGCAGUACAUGUGUUUUAGAUUUUUAAAAUGGGGAGGGGGAGGAAUUGGGCAAUUGAUUUAUAUAUUUUUAACCUUGUCAAACUUAGAUUUUCACACACCAAAUGGAAAACUAGGAAUGAGUGAUUUUGAUAUCUUGACCUGUUUGUAUGUUUUACAUUUAUUUUCCAAAUGACACUUCUGACUGUGAAAUGUACUGCGAUUUUUUCACUAUCGGGAUUACAGUAUGGACAGGAGUUAUUUAAAUAAUAAAAACAUUUUCAACAAUUGAA